GAUCCUGGCUCAGGACGAACGCUGGCGGCGCGCCUAACACAUGCAAGUCGAACGAGAGAUGAAGAGCUUGCUCUUCAAAUCGAGUGGCGAACGGGUGAGUAACGCGUGAGGAACCUGCCUCAAAGAGGGGGACAACAGUUGGAAACGACUGCUAAUACCGCAUAAGCCCACGGCUCGGCAUCGAGCAGGGGGAAAAGGAGCAAUCCGCUUUGAGAUGGCCUCGCGUCCGACUAG
rnacentral:rRNA from 1 species